ACAAUUAUAUUAGUGAUGAACCGUACCUGUGACGCCCCCAAAAUAGGUAUACAUCACCCAUCUUGAGUCGCCAGAUACAUAGUACAGAAUACAAAUAAAAACUUAAUUAUACAACUGUCGUGCCAAAUACGACAAAACAUAGCUGAGAGUUUACAUGAAUAUUGCCUCAUAGACAGUAUACAAACUCAAAUUCAAUCCUCAUUACACUUAUUAUCACACUAAGUAGUGAGGACUGCUAUAGCCACCAUAUCGGACUAUCAAUCCGUUCCCCGACUCGUCCUGGCUAUAUUCUCAUUUCCUGAAGAAAACAAUGAAAGCAAAAGGGUGAGCUCAACUAGCCCAGUAAGAAAUAUUAUGACUAAGAUAAUGCAAAAUAAAUUAUCCUUAGCCUUCAACAGUAUAACAACUGAUAGAAUACAAU
rnacentral:lncRNA from 1 species